rnacentral:rRNA from 1 species
CGGCUCAAGUGGUGGCCGCUAUUAUUGGGCCUAAAGCAUCCGUAGCUGGCCAGGUUAGUCCCCUGUUAAAUCCACCGAAUUAAUCGUUGGACUGCGGGGGAUACUGCUUGGCUAGGGGACGAGAGAGGCAGACGGUAUUCCCGGGGUAGGGGUGAAAUCCUAUAAUCCCGGGAGGACCACCAGUGGCGAAGGCUGUCUGCUAGAACGCGCCCGACGGUGAGGGAUGAAAGCUGGGGGAGCGAACCGGAUUAGAUACCCGGGUAGUCCCAGCUGUAAACGAUGCAGACUAGGUGUUUGGACGGCCACGUGCCGUUCUAGUGCCGCAGGGAAGCUGUUAAGUCUGCCGCCUGGGGAGUACGAUCGCAAGAUUGGAACUUAAAGGAAUUGGCGGGGGAGCAC